UACGGAGGGUGCAAGCGUUAUCCGGAUUCACUGGGUUUAAAGGGUGCGUAGGUGGGUUAGUAAGUCAGUGGUGAAAUCUCCGAGCUUAACUUGGAAACUGCCAUUGAUACUAUUAAUCUUGAAUACCGUGGAGGUCAGCGGAAUAUGUCAUGUAGCGGUGAAGUGCUUAGAUAUGACAUAGAACACCAAUUGCGAAGGCAGCUGGCUACACGAAUAUUGACACUGAGGCACGAAAGCGUGGGGAUCAAACAGG
rnacentral:rRNA from 1 species